rnacentral:misc_RNA from 1 species
UUUCCGUAGGUGAACCUGCGGAAGGAUCAUUACUGAGUUAGGGUCUUUAUGGCCCGACCUCCAACCCUUUGUUUAAUCUACCAUGUUGCUUUGGCAGGCCCGCUUAGAAAUGGGCCGCCGGAGACCUUUGAGUCUCUGGUCAGUGCCUGCCAGUAGCCUUACUAAAUUCAUUUAUAACCGUGUCUGAAUAUACAAAGAAAAAUUAAAAUAAAACUUUCAACAACGGAUCUCUUGGUUCUG